GCUGGCGAACCAAGGCUACGUCGCCAUCGCACCUGCGAUCUUCGAUCGCAUCGAGCCGGACUUUCAGUCGGGAUAUUCGCCGGAUGAAGUCGCGGUGGCGCGGAAAUUCGUCGCCAGUCCCGAUUGGCCGGCGAUGCUGCGCGACACGCAGGCCGCCAUCGAUGCGGUGAAAGACAUCGGCCCGGUCGGCAUCAUCGGCUUUUGUCUCGGCGGCAGCAUCGUCUAUG
rnacentral:misc_RNA from 1 species